rnacentral:lncRNA from 1 species
GGGAAAGAGGUGGCAUCGGCGGUUCAAGACUGAGUUUUCUAUCUCUUCAGUGCCUCUUUCAACAAUGAAGAUCAAACCAGGUUUUGUGCAAAUAUCUGCUGAGUGAACUACUUAUUUGAAAAUACAUCAUUGGUUAAUAUUCCCUUUUGCUCAUUGAAAUCUCAAAGACUACAGACCCCGCACAAGACAUUCUGACAUUCCCGUCUUUGAAAUGAAUGACAGCAAUGAUAAAUAUGGCUCACCUCCAGAGAUACAGAUCUCACAACUUCAUAUUUUUAAUAUAAAUUAUUAAUCUGAGGUGUGGUGCAAUUCCAUUAGAUGAAAGAGAUCUACACAUUCAGAAGCACAUGAUUCUUCCCCCUUCCAUGAUUCCAGUGGCCAAUAGACAAACUACAAUAAAGCCAUGCCCUGACUGGAUGUGCCUAACAUUUGUCUGGUGCUUAAAGGAGUUGGCUGCAUGCGUGGAAAUGUUGGAAAGUCACCAAAAAUAGUUCUCCAAGUCAGAAGCGGUGCAAAAGCUGCCUCAGCUCUUGGUGGAUUUUCAAUUUCUCCCAGCCAUCUCUGUUUCGCUAAAGGUUUCUGAAGACAGUGGAUAAUGAAGAUAUUAUACCAUUAUAUGCUCUUGAAUCUGUCUCAUUGUGACUUGGCGAAGAGGCAGUGAAUCUGCCAAAAAGAAGUAGAGCAGCUGUGAAGAUGCCAACACAAUUGAGUACUCUUUCUCUACAUAUUUCUAAAUAUGGCAAUUUAUUGGACACUUAUGAGCAUGGAAUGACAAUGGGGUCAAUUUAACCAUACGGCAAUGCUGAGACACCUUCAUUAUGACCUUUCCCUGGUAUAAGUUAUGUGAUAAUGAAUGCAUGUUUAGUCACACACUGUAGGUACAGAUGGGAAAAAAGAAAGCAUAAAAUAUAAAACAUGAUGUCCAGGUUUCAAAUAAGAAUUCUAAAAUGUUAUUUAAUUAAUGAAAUGAAAAUACUUUACUUUAGAAAAAGAAUAUUGAAUCUCUUUGAUGUAUAAAAUGUAUAUUUCAAAUUAAAAAUUCAAAAGAAACAAA